rnacentral:rRNA from 1 species
GAUGAACGCUAGCUACAGGCUUAACACAUGCAAGUCGAGGGGAAACGAUGAGAGAGCUUGCUCUCUUAGGCGUCGACCGGCGCACGGGUGAGUAACGCGUAUCCAACCUACCCAUUACAGGGGGAUAACCUUGCGAAAGUAAGACUAAUACCCCAUGGCAUUUUAUGGUGGCAUCAUUAUAGGAUUAAAGAUUUAUUGGUAAUGGAUGGGGAUGCGUCUGAUUAGCUUGUUGGCGGGGUAACGGCCCACCAAGGCAACGAUCAGUAGGGGUUCUGAGAGGAAGGUCCCCCACAUUGGAACUGAGACACGGUCCAAACUCCUACGGGAGGCAGCAGUGAGGAAUAUUGGUCAAUGGGCGAGAGCUUGAACCAGCCAAGUAGCGUGCAGGAUGACGGCCCUAGGGGUUGUAAACUGCUUUUAUAGGGGAAUAAAGUGAGCUACGUGUAGUUUAUUGCAUGUACCCUAUGAAUAAGAACCGGCUAAUUCCGUG